rnacentral:lncRNA from 1 species
AUUUAAUAAAUGUUCUAUACACUAUGAAUAUAUUAAUAUAUCGAUGUGGUAUGAUGGCAAAUGAGACAACAAUGCGAUAAAUUUAUAAUGAUGUGGAGGAAAGCAUUUAUAGGUUGCAGUACGACCUUCGGCAAUGAGUAAAUCAAUAUCAUAUUGCCACCAAGAGAACACAAUGACAAGAAAAAUGUUAAUUGUUCGAACGAGAAAACUUACGGCCA